rnacentral:rRNA from 1 species
GGCUUAACACAUGCAAGUCGAGGGGAAACGAUAUUGGAAGCUUGCUUCCGAUAGGCGUCGACCGGCGCACGGGUGAGUAACGCGUAUCCAACCUGCCCAUCACUUGGGGAUAACCUUGCGAAAGUAAGACUAAUACCCAAUGACGUCUCUAGAAGACAUCUGAAAGAGAUUAAAGAUUCAUCGGUGAUGGAUGGGGAUGCGUCUGAUUAGCUUGUUGGCGGGGUAACGGCCCACCAAGGCAACGAUCAGUAGGGGUUCUGAGAGGAAGGUCCCCCACAUUGGAACUGAGACACGGUCCAAACUCCUACGGGAGGCAGCAGUGAGGAAUAUUGGUCAAUGGACGAGAGUCUGAACCAGCCAAGUAGCGUGCAGGAAGACGGCCCUAUGGGUUGUAAACUGCUUUUAUAAGGGAAUAAAGUUAGUCUCGUGAGACUUUUUGCAUGUACCUUAUGAAUAAGGACCGGCUAAUUCCGUGCCAGCAGCCGCGGUAAUACGGAAGGUCCGGGCGUUAUCCGGAUUUAUUGGGUUUAAAGGGAGCGUAGGCCGGAGAUUAAGCGUGUUGUGAAAUGUAGACGCUCAACGUCUGCACUGCAGCGCGAACUGGUUUCCUUGAGUACGCACAAAGUGGGCGGAAUUCGUGGUGUAGCGGUGAAAUGCUUAGAUAUCACGAAGAACUCCGAUUGCGAAGGCAGCUCACUGGAGCGCAACUGACGCUGAAGCUCGAAAGUGCGGGUAUCGAACAGGAUUAGAUACCCUGGUAGUCCGCACGGUAAACGAUGGAUGCCCGCUGUUGGUCUGAAUAGGUCAGCAGCCAAGCGAAAGCAUUAAGCAUCCCACCUGGGGAGUACGCCGGCAACGGUGAAACUCAAAGGAAUUGACGGGGGCCCGCACAAGCGGAGGAACAUGUGGUUUAAUUCGAUGAUACGCGAGGAACCUUACCCGGGCUUGAAUUGCAGAGGAAGGAUUUGGAGACAAUGACGCCCUUCGGGGCCUCUGUGAAGGUGCUGCAUGGUUGUCGUCAGCUCGUGCCGUGAGGUGUCGGCUUAAGUGCCAUAACGAGCGCAACCCCUCUCCUUAGUUGCCAUCAGGUCAAGCUGGGCACUCUGGGGACACUGCCACCGUAAGGUGUGAGGAAGGUGGGGA